rnacentral:rRNA from 1 species
CACAACGGGUGCGGCAGUCCUACACAUUACAAGCUGAACGCUAUCUUUGAUAGAGUGGCGCACGGGUGAGUAACGGACCUGCCUUUCUCUGCGGGACAACGGUUGGAAACGACCGCUAAUACCGCAUACGCCCUACGGGGGAAAGGUCAGCCGGAGAAAGAGGGGCCCGCGUUCGAUUAGCUAGUUGGUAGGGUAAAAGCCUACCAAAGCGACGAUCGAUAGCUGGUCUGAGAGGACGACCAGCCACACUGGGACUGAGACACGGCCCAGACUCCUACGGGAGGCAGCAGUGGGGACAUUUGGACAAUGGGCGAAAGCCUGAUCCAGCAAUGCCGCGUGUGUGAAGAAUGCCCUUCGGGUUGUAAAGCACUU